ACGAGGGGGGCGAGUGUUGUUCGGAAUUAUUGGGCGUAAAGAGCUCGUAGGCGGUCUGUCGCGUCUGCUGCGAAAUCCCAGGGCUUAACCCUGGGCCUGCAGUGGGUACGGGCAGACUAGAGUGCGGUAGGGGAGAUCGGAAUUCCUGGUGUAGCGGUGAAAUGCGCAGAUAUCAGGAGGAACACCGGUGGCGAAGGCGGAUCUCUGGGCCGUAACUGACGCUGAGGAGCGAAAGCAUGGGUAGCGAACAGGA
rnacentral:rRNA from 1 species